rnacentral:rRNA from 1 species
GACCCGCACAAGCGGUGGAGCAUGCGGCUUAAUUCGAUGAUACCCGUAGAACCUUACCUGGACUUGACAUAUAGGGUCAAGCUAUAGAGAUAUAGUGUGCAUUAGCGCCCUAUACAGGUGGUGCAUGGCUGUCGUCAGCUCGUGUCGUGAGAUGUUGGUUAAGUCCCGCAACGAGCGCAACCCCUGUCCUAUGUUGCCAGCAUUUAGUUGGGGACUCAUAGGAGACUGCCGGUGAUAAACCGGAGGAAGGUGGGGAUGACGUCAAGUCCUCAUGGCCUUUAUGCCUGGGGCUGCACACGUCCUACAAUGGUCGGUACAAUGGGUCGCCACCCAGCGAUGGGGCGCAAA